ACUUUAUGGUGUAUCUGCUCGACCUAAGGUGGUAAGCAGACUUCAGAAAUGUGUCAUAUAACCCGAGGAUUUGACAUUACAAUUGCGUAGUAGUGAAAACCUGCAGCAUAAGGUGACUAUGGAAUAGUUAGGAUUAUCGCAUACAUGGGAAAUGUUCUUGGGUCAGGAUCAUAUCGAUAAAUAGGUUUUCUUCUCAAAAAAAAUAUCGAUAAAUAGGUUCUUGAAGCUGUAUACUUGUUUUACUGAAGGAAUUUCCAUAUAAAAUGAUAACCGGGCGCAUAUUAUGUUAAAUAUUGAUUAUACAAAUGCACUUUCUCCUUAUCUUUUUGUAACAGAAGUUUGGAUCUGUUCUAGUUUAUAUUUUUUAUUUUUUAUUUUUUAUUUUUGAGAAGAAACAAUUUUAUUAAAGAAUAGAGAACAGCACAGAAGUGGAUAAGAAGUCCACUAACUGUAUAACAAGGAAAAACCCAUUAGGAUUUGGCUACAGCAGCCAUUUCUAGACCUAGCUCACUUAACUGCUGCUAACAAAUCCCAUAGUAUUUGAGAUAGAGAAACAUUAUUAAACUCUUUAGUGACUGAAGCCCAAAAAGCUGCCCAAUAUUUUACUCUCCCCCAAAGUUCUUCUGCCCCCACUCCAGUAUAGUCUUCAAAAAUCCUCUUGUUGCGUUCCAGCCAUAUAUUCUAGAAAAUUGCCGAUACCAGGCAACCCCACAAAACUUUUGGAUUUUUUCCUUUUUCCAAGUGCCUUAAAGUUUGUGCUUAGUAGCUCGAAACACCCUUUAGGAAUGACCCAACUUGCUUUAACCUCCUGUAACAAUUUCCACCACAGUUGGAUCGAGUAGGAGCAAUGAAGAAAGAUGUGAUUUACACUCUCCUCCUUGGCUUUGCACAGGCUACACCAAUGUGGUGAUAAGCACAUAAGAGGGUUUCUCCUUUGAAUUCUGUCGCAUGUGUUUAGAUUCCCAUUGGCCACAAGCCAUACAAGUAUUUUAACCUUCGGAGGAACUUUUGAUUUCCAAAUCUGAGGGUAGGGUGGAAAAUAGUGCACACUCCCAUUGUUGCUCAGUAAUGAACGAUAAGAUUUGCAUGAGAACAAACCUGAAGCUUCCAGAUUCCACCUUCUGAUAUCCAUCUUUAAUGGAGACAAUCGAACCUCUUCCAGUUUCUGUAAUAAUGUGGCCACCUCUACUAUCUCCAUCUCAUUCAAGUUUCUCCUAAAAUCAAAGUUCCAACUCAAAGGAUUUGAUGAAACUUCCACGAAGCUCGAGAUGUUUUGAUUAUGCUUCCUUUAUAGUAGGAAUAGUCUGGGGAAUUGCUCCUUCAGCGGUCCCCCUGUUAACCACCCAUCCUCCCAAAACCUCACCCUCUCUCCGUUGCCCACCUCAAACGUGCAGCAUCUAAGAAACUGAUGAGAACCACUCGAAAUGUCUUUCCAUGGGCUUCGACUUGAAACCCUCCUUUGAGGAAGUGCAUCCCAUCCAUUAGCUUGUAGCCCAUACUUACUUCUUAUCACCUUGUGCCACAGAGACUGUGACUCCCUUGGGAAUCUCCACAACCACUUAGCCAAUAAUGCUUCGUUAUGAUUCCUCAAGUUCCCCACCCCUAGACCUCCUUCCUCCUUGUUUUUAGUAACUAACUCCCACUUGGCCAAAUGUGUUUUCUUACCUUCCUCCAUGCCUUCCCAUAGAAACCCCUUCAUUAAUUUUUCUAGACGUCCUCUUACCCCGCAUGGAAUUUUGAACAAGGACAUAUAGUAAAUCGGCAUGCUUCCCAGGACUGAUUGAAUUAGAGUUAAUUUACCCCCUCUAGAUAGGAAAGCCUUCUUCCAACUUUGAAGUCUUCUUUCCAUUGUUUCUACCACUGGAUCCCAAAACUUUAUUGCUCUUUGCCUUCCUCCAAGGGGAAGCCCCAAAUACUUUAUCAGCCAGCACCCUACCUCGCACCCCCAAGAAACUGCCAACCUGUUUAGUUUCUCACUCUCUGAAUUUAUCCCAGCCAAAAAGCACUUAGCUUUGUUGAUUUUCAAUCCUGAGACCGAACAGAAUAAAUUAAGCACUUGGAUUAGGUUAUUCCAAACUUCCUCGUCUUCCGUCAAGAAGAAAAUGGUGUCGUCGGCAAAUUGAAGAUGAGAUAUCUCCACCUUUUCUUGGCCGAUACACAAGCCUUUGAUGAGAUCAGUUUCUUGUGCCUUCUCCAUUAACUUGCUCAAAACAUCGACUACUAAGGUGAAAAGAAAUGGUGACAGUGGAUCGCCUUGUCUCAAACCUCUUGAAGCUUGAAAUUUUCCCCUUGGCCUUCCAUUGAUCAAAACGGAGAAAUUUGCAGAGCUUAAACAUCCUUGCAUCCAUUUCCUCCAUCUAUUGCCAAAACCUUUUCUUUGAAGUACUUCUUCUAGAAAUCUCCAUUCAACAUGAUCAUACGCUUUUUCAAAGUCUAUCUUAAGCACCAAUCCCUUCUCUUUUUUCUGCCUCACCUCUUCUACCACUUCAUUUGCAAUGAGGACAGCAUCCAAAAUUUGUCUAUCCUUAACAAACGCCCCCUGAUUCGGAGAGACAGUGGUAUCCAAAACCUCCUUCAAUCUUGAAGCCAGUGUUUUUGCUAUAAUUUUAUACAAUCCAGUUACUAAGCUUAUGGGCCUAUAGUCCGUCACUUUCAAAGAAUCUGAUUUCUUCGGGAUCAGGCAAAUAAAAGUCUCGUUCGUCACUGCAUUUAUUAUCCCUUUCUCAAAGAACUCUUCCAUGAUCUUCAUUAUAUCCUUCUUCAAAAUCUCCCAGCAAUGUUGAAACAUUUGCAUAGAGAAGCCAUCUGGUCCUGGAGAUUUAUCCUUUCCACAAUCGAAAACUGCUCUUUGAACUUCUAUUUCCUCAAAAGGCCUCUCAAGCCAACUUGCCUGAAGGGCGCUUAUUGGAGCCCAAUUUAUCCCUUCCAAACCCCAACAUGCCUCGUCGUUACGCUGAAUAAGGAUUUGAAAAAAUUGACAAUAUGCUCUUCGAUCUCUUUUGCAUCCUCUAUUAUUCCCCCUCCAACCGACUCUAACCUCUCAAUAUAGUUUCUCUUCCUUCUCCCAUUUGCAACUCGAUAGAAGAAUUUUGUAUUACCAUCCCCUUCCUUUGCCCAUUCCACUUUGCUUCUCUGCCUCCAUUUCACUUCUUCUUUACAAGCCAAGUCUCCUACAAGGGUUUGGAGUUCUUCCCUUUUUCUUCUAGCUUCAAAAUCUAAGCCUUCCAACCCCUAUCUCCUGUCCAACUCCUCUAUGUUUGCUUCCACUUCUUUCAAGACUUUUUCGAUCUCGCCGAAGCUCUCCUUACUCCAGCGUUGCACCUUUUUUUUCAUGGCUUUUAACUUGAUCAUAAAUUUAUAACCCUCCCACCCCUCCACUUGCUCCGAUUGCCACCAUUCCUUGAAUUUAUUCCUGAAUUCUGGAUCUUGGAGCCACAUGUUUUCAAAUCUGAAAGGACAUGGCCCCCAUUUCACUUUGUUGGUGUCUAGCUGGACUGGGCAAUGAUCAGAAAUGACCCUAGCCAAGGCCGUUUGUCUAGCCUCAGGGAAGAUAUCUUCGCAACCUGUAGAGCAUAAGAAUCUGUCUAAUCUCCGACACACAGGUUCUUCUCUGAGGUUUGACCAAGUAAAUUGUGCAUUGAGCAGCUCCAAAUCCUUGAGUUCUGUCUCUCUAAUGAAAUCAUUAAAAUCCCUCAUGCUUUUAGUCAACCUCCCCCCGUUUGAUUUCUCAUUUAUAAAUCUAACCACGUUAAAAUCUCCUCCUACACACCAUCUUGGUCCACACAUACCAUAAAGUCCCGCCAAUUUUUCCCAAAACUCCCUUCGGUCUCUAUUUUUACAUGGACCAUAGACUCCAGAUAGCCACCACUCCAUCCCAUUGGGAGCCAUAAUUUUUAUUGAUGCAGAGAAAACACCGAUCAAAGAUUCGGUUACUGACAUGUGUUUUGUAUUCCAGAUUACAGCUAUGCCCCCUGAGCUUCCUUGUGCAGGGGCAUAAAUCCAGUCUUUAUAUCUGCUUCCCCACACACUAGCCACAAGGCUUCUGUCAAUCAUAGCUUUCUUAGUUUCUUGUAGUAUGAUGAUGUCGGGCUGUAACCGUUGGAAUUGCUUUUUCAAAGUUAGCCUCUUCCGUCUACUUCCCAAUCCUCUAACAUUCCAGCUAAUUAUCUUCAUUAAAACUGGUAUUGCCCCUGUGAAGUUUACUAUCUCCCUUAAAACCAUCCUCUUUCUUGCCUCUUCUGACUUUCCCUUUCUUCGCUUCUUUUAACAGAGACCUUUUCAACGGAAACAAGGAAAUCUUCAUUUUAGACAAAAAUUUGGAAUUUAGAUGUUGUGCCUCAUUGUUGGCUAAUUGGCCUGCCAGUUUUUUCCUUCUUCUGUACUUUAAUAUUUCCUUGUUUUUUCCUAUUGCCUUAGUAACAGACUUCUCAUGAUUAGAUGCCUCCUCCAACGUUGUCAAUGCUUCCAAAUUUGAAUCCUUGAAUAGGUUGUGGAGGUCAUCACAGGAUAAUUCAAAAUCUUCAGAUGUUUCUUUUUCCUCUUGAGAGUAAGCCUCCGCCUCCCCAUCAGCAACAGAAGAUUGGGCGGAGAAAUCUUCGUCGUCGCUGUCUAACAAUUGAGCCGAAUCCAUGCCUAGAGCCUCCAUCCUUCUCCGCCAUUGAUCUGCUGGAUUCUUCUCAGUCGACCCGCUCGGUGAUCGGGCACGGUCAUCAUCGGCCUCGCUCUCCAGAUCUUCCUCUAAUUCACUAUCUGAAUCAGUGAAUGUGAGGUUAGAAGGCCAGCCUUUCGUCAGAAUAGGCCCUUCUAGUUGAUUCUGACCAGAGCCAAAAUCUUGUGGUGAAAGAAUCUUUAGCCGCAAUCCGCCCCUGUCAGGUUGGCCAAAUCUCCCAAAGAAACUCGA
rnacentral:lncRNA from 1 species